rnacentral:tRNA from 5 species
GGGUCGUUAGCUCAGCUGGUAGAGCAGCGGACUUUUAAUCCGUUGGUCGAGCGUUCGAAUCGCUCACGACCCACCA